rnacentral:rRNA from 1 species
CAGAGGUCUCGAGCGUUAGGCGGAAUCACUGGGCUUAAAGCGUGUGUAGGCGGGUCGGUCAGUACCUUGUGAAAUCCCACGGCUCAACCGUGGAACUGCUGGGUAUACUGCCGAUCUUGUGCAACCUAGGGGCGAGCGGAACAGAUGGUGGAGCGGUGAAAUGCGUAGAUAUCAUCUGGAACGCCAAUGGUGAAAACAGCUCGCUGGGGGUUUGCAGACGCUGAGACACGAAAGCCAGGGGAGCGAACGGG